rnacentral:tRNA from 1 species
GCGGGAAUAGCUCAGUUGGUAGAGCACGACCCUUCCAAGGUCGGGGUCGCGAGUUCGAGCCUCGUUUCCCGCUCCA